CAUCCAUCACUCGUCCCUUCCCUCCACCUUUGCCCGUCUGCAUAGCCAGUCACUGCACUAGGUACUAGCGGGCCUGGAGAGAUGACAGAACCAGGCUCUAGCCUUCCAGCUACAAAACUAGUUGCUUAGAAACUGAAACGAUGAGGUAGGCAGACAUAAAAAUCUGUGUAAUGUUUUAGUACUCACCGGACAUGCAAUAAGAAUAUGGUUCUCUCUUCCUGCUGUGUUUUUUGUUUGCUUUGUGUUUUUUUGAGACAGGGUCUCCCUACGUUGUUCAGGCUGGCUUUGAACUCACUGUGUAGUCCAGGCUGGCCUCAAACUCCUGGUGAUCCUCCUGCCUCAGCCUCCCUGGUGCUGGGAUCACAGGUGUGUGCCACCUCACUUGGGUUUCCUGCUGUAUUUUUAACUACCAGUGUUUGCCCGAUCGACAUGCCUUGCGCUCUUCUGUGUGUGGGGUCAGGCUGGGUGCUGAGAUGGACGCCGAGAUAAUCAGGGAGGACGGUGAGUCACGGAGCUCACAGCUGGGGCGGAAAUGCAGCUUGCAUUGAUUUACAAAGCAAACUGUGGCCAACCUCUUGCUCGGGGCCCACAGACAAGCAACACUGGGAAAGGACACAGACUUGCUGAAGACCUCUCAGAGACAGAGCUGGCAAAGCACCUUUAGGGCUUUCUCCCUGCAGUGGGUUAGCACAACUUCUGCCUGGCCCUUACUUCCGGUCCCACAGGUCUGAGUGGCCUUGAUCUCUGGUCUUUGACAGCAGAAGUGACAAUGCCUGAUUCGUCCCUCCCAGUCCUCUGUGUUCCUGUUUCCUGGCAAGGUCAGCAGACACAAACCAUUUCUCAUGGCCUCCAUGAACACCAGCCCUGAAAGAGGCUGCAAAGAGAGGAUCCUGACCAAGGCUGUAGAAAAAGAAUCUUUCAAGAACGUAUCUAUCUAUCUAUCGAUAUACACGCAGGCCCUGACAGUGACCCCGGACUGUAGUGCUCUUCAUUACCCAGGAAGUGACAGGGUCAAGAGGAGCCUGACAGCCGCCUCGAGGUUCUGCCCAUGGAUUCCUGGCCAUUGUCUCGGCUCCGUAGCCUGGAGUGGGUCACCACUGCUCCUGGGUUUGUCCGCUGUUCCCAUUUCUUCAUUUCUUCCUCAUUCUUUUUUUAAUUUGAAAAGAAACUCUGGCAUCUUGAGUAUUGACUGGAAAUUCAUAAGAGCCACAGGUGUUUUGGGUUGGCCAGCUUGUCAUAAUUGCCACUUGGACACUGGGGGAGGAGGUG
rnacentral:lncRNA from 1 species